CAUAUACUCUCUCCGUUCAGAAUUACUUGUCGCAGAAAUGGAUGUAUCUGGAUGUAUUUUAGUUCUAGAUACAUCCAUUUCCGAGACAAGUAAUUCCGAAAGGAGGGAGUAACAU
rnacentral:pre_miRNA from 1 species